rnacentral:tRNA from 2 species
GCCCGGAUAGCUCAGUCGGUAGAGCACUUCAUUGGUAAUGAAGAGGUCAGCGGUCCGAUCCCGCUUCCGGGCU